GUGUCAGCCGCCGCGGUAAGACAGAGGUCCCAAGCGUUAGGCGGAAUCACUGGGCUUAAAGCGUGUGUAGGCGGACGCGUAAGUGCUUUGUGAAAUCCCACGGCUCACCCGUGGAACUGCUUGGCAUACUGCGCGCCUUGAGCCACUUAGGGGCAACUGGAACAAACGGUGGAGCGGUGAAAUGCGUAGAUAUCGUUUGGAACGCCAAUGGUGAAAACAGGUUGCUGGGAGUGUGCUGACGCUGAGACACGAAAGCCAGGGGAGCGAACGGGAUUAGAAACCCCGGUAGUCC
rnacentral:rRNA from 1 species